rnacentral:rRNA from 1 species
UAUGGAGCUUUAACUAACCAACCCAAAGAGAAUAGAUUUAACCAUUAAGGAAUAACAACAAUCUCCAUGAGUUGGUAGUUUCGGUUGGGGUGACCUCGGAGAAUAAAAAAUCCUCCGAGCGAUUUUAAAGACUAGACCCACAAGUCAAAUCACUCUAUCGCUCAUUGAUCCAAAAACUUGAUCAACGGAACAAGUUACCCUA